rnacentral:rRNA from 1 species
UCUGGUGAUGAUGGCGAAGAGGUCACACCCGUUCCCAUACCGAACACGGAAGUUAAGCUCUUCAGCGCCGAUGGUAGUUGGGGGCUUCCCCCUGCGAGAGUAGGACGUUGCCAGGC